UUAUGUGGUUUAAUUCGAAGCAACGCGAAGAACCUUACCAGGUCUUGACAUCGUGCGCAUAACCCAGAGAUGGGUGAAGCCCUUCGGGGCGCAUAGACAGGUGGUGCAUGGUUGUCGUCAGCUCGUGUCGUGAGAUGUUGGGUUAAGUCCCGCAACGAGCGCAACCCUUACGAGUAGUUGCUACGCAAGAGCACUCUACUAGGACUGCCGUUGACAAAAACGGAGGAAGGUGGGAUGACGUCAAAUCAUCAUGCCCCUUAUGACCUGGGCUACACACGUAAUACAAUGGCGGUCAACAGAGGGAAGCGACGCCGCGAGGCCGAGCGAAUCCUCAAAAGCCGUCUCAGUUCGGAUUGCAGGCUGCAACUCGCCUGCAUGAAGUCGGAAUUGCUAGUAAUCGCGGAUCAGCACGCCGCGGUGAAUACGUUCCCGGGCCUU
rnacentral:rRNA from 1 species